rnacentral:hammerhead_ribozyme from 1 species
GAACUGCCGACGAGUCUCAAACAGGACAAAACAGCUGUCCAGUGC